rnacentral:rRNA from 1 species
GACGAACGCUGGCGGCGUGCUUAACACAUGCAAGUCGAGCGGUAAGGCCCUUUCGGGGGUACACGAGCGGCGAACGGGUGAGUAACACGUGGGUGACCUGCCCUUAGCUCUGGGAUAAGCCUGGGAAACUGGGUCUAAUACCGGAUAUGACUCCAUGACGCAUGUUGUGGGGUGGAAAGCCUUGUGCGGCUAGGGAUGGGCCCGCGGCCUAUCAGCUUGUUGGUGGGGUGAUGGCCUACCAAGGCGACGACGGGUAGCCGGCCUGAGAGGGCGACCGGCCACACUGGGACUGAGACACGGCCCAGACCCCUACGGGAGGGCAGCAGUGGGGAAGUCUUGCGCAAUGGGC